rnacentral:rRNA from 1 species
AGUGAACGCUGGCGGUAGGCCUAACACAUGCAAGUCGAACGGCAGCACAGUAAGAGCUUGCUCUUACGGGUGGCGAGUGGCGGACGGGUGAGGAAUACAUCGGAAUCUACUUUUUCGUGGGGGAUAACGUAGGGAAACUUACGCUAAUACCGCAUACGACCUACGGGUGAAAGCAGGGGAUCUUCGGACCUUGCGCGAUUGAAUGAGCCGAUGUCGGAUUAGCUAGUUGGCGGGGUAAAGGCCCACCAAGGCGACGAUCCGUAGCUGGUCCGAGAGGAUGGUCAGCCACACUGGAACUGAGACACGGUCCAGACUCCUACGGGAGGCAGCAGUGGGGAAUAUUGGACAAUGGGCGCAAGCCUGAUCCAGCCAUACCGCGUGGGUGAAGAAGGCCUUCGGGUUGUAAAGCCCCUUUGUUGGGAAAGAAAAGCAGCAGGUUAAUACCCCGCUGUUCUGACGGUACCCAAAGAAUAAGCACCGGCUAACUUCGUG